rnacentral:rRNA from 1 species
AUUGAACGCUGGCGGAAUGCUUUACACAUGCAAGUCGAACGGUAACAGGUCUUCGGAUGCUGACGAGUGGCGAACGGGUGAGUAAUAUAUCGGAACGUGCCCAGUCGUGGGGGAUAACGUAGCGAAAGUUACGCUAAUACCGCAUACGAUCUAUGGAUGAAAGCGGGGGAUCGCAAGACCUCGCGCGAUUGGAGCGGCCGAUAUCAGAUUAGGUAGUUGGUGAGGUAAAGGCUCACCAAGCCAACGAUCUGUAGCUGGUCUGAGAGGACGACCAGCCACACUGGAACUGAGACACGGUCCAGACUCCUACGGGAGGCAGCAGUGGGGAAUUUUGGACAAUGGACGCAAGUCUGAUCCAGCCAUUCCGCGUGCAGGACGAAGGCCUUCGGGUUGUAAACUGCUUUUGUACAGAACGAAAAGGUCUCUAUUAAUACUAGGGGCUCAUGACGGUACUGUAAGAAUAAGCACCGGCUAACUACGUG